rnacentral:snRNA from 1 species
AGCUUUGCGCAGUAGAAGUAUCGUAGCCAAUGAGGUUUAUCCAAGGCGUGAUUAGUCCUAAUGGAAAGUCCAUGCUAUUUUAUUCAUUUAAUCUUUAUUGAUACUAUCAAAUGAAAUCUGUGAACUUGGAAAGACUCUG